CACGUUCUGCAUGGCCGGGAGGAUGGUCCCCAUGUCGCCGGGGCCGAGCUCGUUGCCGACGGCGAUGUACCGGAUGAUGACGUUCGGCCAGUAGGCCUGGACGUUGUCACGCACCCAGUCGGCGGCGGCGGAGGGGUUGUUGGCGAGGUUGGCCACCGCGCUGCUGCCGCCGACGUCGAUGAUGACGGCGACGCCGCUGCCGCGAAGCGCGUCGAGGGCCUGCUGGUCCGGGCUGUAGAUGCGCAUAGCACCGAUACCAUUGGACUUGUACAGCUGCACGACCUCGCUCUGCGACGGGAGGUUGUCGCCGUUCAUGCCGUAGCAAACACCGUGGACACCUGCAAAAACAUAGGAGUGCAUGUUUAUGCCAAAUCAGACGAUUUAAUUGAUGUGUAGGAAAAUAAAAUAUAUAUAUAGAGAGAGAGAUAUCGAAUCUGGAUUUUUCACAUUUUGAUACUUUUGAAAAACUUAUUUCACAAAUAGACCCCUAAAAAAACUUAUCCUAGAAAUGGUCUUUUUUGGGGCGCCAGAGUGGCUGGCGCCGUCAUCCAACGGGAUGGCGCCAGCCUCUCUGGCGCUGUCCUCCUGCCACCGUGGCGUACGCGAACCGACGUGGCUCCAUUCCUGUUUCUCUGUAUGGAGUUGCAACGGUGUUAUUUUUAUUUUAUUUUUUCGGAUGUUUUUUCACACUCAGGAUCACGAUACAACCAACCACAAAAAAAAUUUAAACUCGAACUACCACUUAGCUAAGUCUGAAAAUAUCUAGCAUACCACUUAGUCUACUUUACACCUUCACUAAAAUUAGACCAUAACUCAUUUAGUAAAACCCUUUGAUCAGCAUGUUAAACAUAAUGCACUCUACCACUAUAUGAAAUUACUUAAUCUAAUUCAAAAUAUAACCACAUGAAAUGACAUAUAUAAGUUAAACAGUAUAUAGAGAUGCAAUUUUUUUAUUUUUAUUUUAUUUUUUUGAUAUUUUUUCACACUUAUGAGAACAUAGGAACCAACCGUAUAAAAAAUAAACUCAAACGGACAAAAUAUGUGACAUGUAGAAUUUUCCAAAAUUCUACCGAAACGGACAAAAUAUGCCAUCUAUUAAAAUAGGCGUAACUUUCUCAUACGGACUCGGAAUCAGGCAAAUAAUAUAUGCACGGACAUCUACAGAAAAAGUUACAUCCGAUUCUCCCCCGCUUUGCCGGGUUCGGCGAUAUUAAAACCUCCAAAUUCCGCUUGCAAGAUUGUGUUUUCGAGGAGAGAAGUUUUUCGGUGGAGCUUUGGAAAAUUCCACAUGCCACAUAUUUCGUCCGUUUGAGUUUAUUUUUUACGUGGUUGGUUCUUGUGAGUUCCUAAGUGUGAAAAAAAUAUCAAAAAAAUAAAAUAAAAAUAAAAAAGUUGCACAUCUCUCUCCUCUGCACUAGUUCGGAGAGAGGAGAGGAGAGGAAAAAUUCUACAUGUCACAUAUUACGUCCAUUUGAGUUCAAUUUUUUUAUGGUUGGUUCUUGUGUGUCCCUAAGCGUGAAAAAAAUAUCAAACAAAUAAAACAAAAAUAAAAAAUUUCCGGGGGGGGGGGGGGGGGCGCCAGCCACUCUGGCGCACUCCCCCUAGCCACCUCAGCAUCGCCCCGCCACGUCGGCGGUGGGACGGCGCCAAAGAGGCUGGCGCCAUCCUGUUGAACGAUGGCGCCAGCCACUCUGGCGCCCCAAAAAGGACUAUUUUUAGGAUAAGUUUUUCUAGAGAUCUACUUGCGAAAUAAGUUUUUCAAAAGGACCAAAAUGUGAAAAAUCCAGGAGAUCGAAUUGCAUAUGAGAGGCAGAGAGGGUUAGUUAAUUAAUUGAUUAGCAAUAGAUCAGCUCAGCAUGAAAGAGAAAAGGAAGGGAAAAAUAAGUUCUGAAUAUACCUCCCAUUUGAUCAAAUAGCUAUGAUAACUCGAGCUCUGAUCUGCUUGAUCAGUAUCUGGAGAUGGAAUUAUGAAUGGCGCCUCGAUGCUCGCGCUCGCUAGCUCGUGAUCGUAGCUAGGAAAGAAUGUCCCCCCUUAUAUACUGCAAGAUGGCGUGACUUCUUCCUCUUGUCAAUGAGACACUUCAAUCGGUUAACCAGUAAUCACGAGAUCCGGCCGACGGCGGAGAUCACGAGGUUUGCCUCGCGUUGGGAUUCGACUUCGGUUAUACUUUUGCUUUGGAAUUGUGUUCCUUUGCUUUAUUCCUCCUCUAGCAUCUGCCCAUACAUUCCGUGUGAUGAACACUGCGAAUCAAAUGGGACGUUUAAGAUGUUGUUGUUGUACUGAUAGCGUGAUUGAAUUCAUGGCCUCUUUCUGCCAAGCCGCAUAUGGAGUUUUUUUUGGUGUUUCAGUUUCAAGUCGCGGUUGGUGAAUCCGAAAUCACGUGAUUAAAACAGUAAUUAUCGAGCACGGAAGGAAUGGAAUUUUUUUAAAAAAAAUGCAGAACGGAGUAAUUUCUUACAGAUCAUCCUGUUUCUGCUUGAUGCGAUAGCUAAUCGCUGUCGGUGCUCUAUUACUGCUCCAGCUCAAGCUCGAACAGCAUUCCAGCUUGUCGGCCAAAUUGGACAUAUCUUUCGGCCCAAUUGGUUUAAUCCCCAUCUCUUUUAGCCGGGCCGCAAGUUAUCCCCUCCUCGUCACGCUAUCUAUAGGCCCAUUAUUAUCUAUCUGUGUUAUGUUUUAGAACAAGCUGGAAAUGCUGGUUGAGCUCGAGCAGUAGUAGAUAGGGAUGAAAACAGUCCGGAAAGUUUCCGAAUUCCGGACGUGUUUUUGGAAACGGGAAGUGUCGGUCAGAAUUUUUUCGAAACAUUUGGAAACGGAAACGAAUUCCGAAUUCUGAAUUUUUUUCUCGGAAACAGAAACAAACAUGAUAAGGCUGCUAUUCGUUGGAAACCGUAAUCCGACGGAAAUUUUCAAGAAAUGAAUUCAAAUUUUUUUUUCUUAGAAUCGAAAAGGGAGUAUUUCUCAUAUACAACUGAUUAGUUUCAUUCUUCUCUACUCUUUAAUGUUUAGGUUUAUACUAGUAUUGAUGUGCUUAAUUAAAUAGAAAUAUUUUUAGUUCCAGUAAUUUAGAUUUGUUUGCAUGAUUACUUUUUAAAUUUUUAUUAGACCAUGUCAUACUACUUAUAAUUAUAGUUAUAGAUGAAUAUAGUUCUUUUUCUCCAAGAAAGUAAAGGGUACAACUAGUUAUUAUUAUUAUUAUUGGUAAAAAAAAAUAAAUAUCGGUUUGUUAUUUUAGAAAAAAAUAUUGAGCUACAUCUCUUUCUUAAUUUGAAAAGUUCAAUUUAAGGGCUUUUUAUAUUCCGAUAAGUAUCCGUUACCGUAUUCGUUCCAAAUCGUAUUCGUUCCGUUUUCGUAUUUGAUAAAUAUCCUUUGCCGUAUUCCCGUUUUCAUCCUAGUAGUAGUAGAGCACCGACACCGAUUAGGAAAACGUGGAAUUGAUCUGAGUGAAAUUACUCCGUUCUGCAAUUUUUCUUCUAAAAGAUUCCAUUUCCUCCGCGUGCGAAAUAACUACGACCGAAUCAUUUUUGUAUUAAUCGAGUUGAUAUCUGUUUCUGCGAGGCCGCUGCCCGCUGGAAUCUGGAGAUUGAAGCAGAGAAAGUGAGAGGAAACCAAACCGCGACUUGAAACACCUAACAGACUCCAUAUGCGGCUUGUCAGAAAGAGACAAUGAAUUCAUCAGGCUACCAGUACAACAACAUCUCAAAUGUCCCAUUUGAUUCGCAGUGUUCCAUCACACGGAAUGUAUAGUAUGAGCAGAUGCUGGAGGAGGAAGAAAGCAAAGGAACACAAUUCCAAAGCAAAAGUAUAACCGGAGUCGAAUACAAAAGCGAGGCAAACCUCGUGAUCUCACGUGCGUCCGAAUCGAACUCUGGUCGCCUCCACCGUCGUCCGGAUCACGCAGCCUGGCCGGCCAUCCGCGGCGGCGGGCUUGCGCCGCCGUGCUGCUUUGGCUGGAAGAUCUUGGUGGCAGAGGGCAGAGGACCCAGAAGUCGUCCUCCUCGCCGUCGUCGGUGUGCGGCGGUAGCACCGGGGAUCGGUGAUCUCGUACUCGGCCAUCAUCCACCCGGUAACGAAGGGAAUUAGUAGCAGCAAGCGGGAGUAGCUUGAGUGGCCAUAAUUAAUCCGAGCUGGUGGAGCAGUAUUCUGCGUUCAUGAUCUGCAUUUGUGUCCUCUCUUCAGGAACUGAAAAGCUGGAAAUGUUUGUGUCUAUCUGUUUAUAGGUGCCAUCUGUUUGGCACAAGAUGGUACCGAUAUAUAGUCACAGCAGGCUGCUGUCAUCAACCGAUAAAAAGAUCCUGAAUUUUUUUAAAAAAAUAAAAUAAAAUUGGAAUUUUUUAUUCAUGUAGCAUUGUCACAAAAAAAAAGGGCCAUACAGAGUACAUGCAUUAACGUUCAACCAACAUUAUUUAAUCAUGGAUUAUUCGUCUCUGGAAAUCCUUAUUUGCACUGGCAUGGUCAGCCGCUAGUUCGGAGGAAACGUAAUCGGGUAGACCGGCGUCUUGUCAGGGUAGAAGAGCCCAAAAUGCCUCUCGGUCUCAUCCCCGGGCUUCUGGUUCUCGUUGAACAUGGCGAACACGUACGUCUCCAGCUGCCCGGGCCGCUUCGGCGUCCCGUUCUUGACGUUGUCGAUCACGCCCUGGUUGUGAUUCCUCGCGUUCUCCACGUUCGCCGCGAACCCUCCCGCCGACGGCCACCCGCUCUCCGACACGACGACGCGGACGCCGGGCUCGCCGGCCUUCUCCAGCGCGGCGUACACGGCGUCCACCAUGGCGCUGAAGAGGUUGGUGUAGGUGAGGCCGCUGUCGUUGUCCCUCACCGUGGUGCCCGGCUGGAACGUGGCGUAGUUGAGCGGGAUGUCGCGCGGGUUGUCCCUGUAGGCAAAGUAGGGGUACACGUUGGCGAGCAGCGGCGACAUGGUGUUGGCGAGGAACUGCGCGAUGGGCACCAUGAACUGCUGCAGGUCCGGGCGGAACACGCCGUGCGACGGAGGGAACGAGUCGGUGAUCGCGUCCAUCCUCACCGCCGUCGACACCUUGAUGCUGUUCGAGAGGCCGGCGGACACGAGCGCGUCGUACACGUUCUGCAUGGCCGGGAGGAUGGUCCCCAUGUCGCCGGGGCCGAGCUCGUUGCCGACGGCGAUGUACCGGAUGAUGACGUUCGGCCAGUAGGCCUGGACGUUGUCACGCACCCAGUCGGCGGCGGCGGAGGGGUUGUUGGCGAGGUUGGCCACCGCGCCGAUGCCGCCGACGUCGAUGAUGACGGCGAUGCCGCUGCCGCGGAGCGCGUCGAGGGCCUUCUGAUCCGGGCUGUAGAUGCGCAUAGCACCGAUGCCAUUGGACUUGUACAGCUGCACGACCUCGCUC
rnacentral:lncRNA from 1 species